GAGGGUGCGAGCGUUAUCGGAAUUCUGGGCGUAAAGCGUGCGUAGGCGGCCUGCCAAGCCAGGUGUGAAAGCCCCGGGCUCAACCUGGGAACGGCACUUGGAACUGGCAAGCUAGAGUUGGGUAGAGGGGAGUGGAAUUUCAGGUGUAGCGGUGAAAUGCGUAGAUAUCUGAAGGAACACCAGUGGCGAAGGCGGCUCCCUGGACCCAAACUGACGCUGAGGUACGAAAGCGUGGGUAGCAAACAGGAUUAGAUACCCUGGUAGUCCACGCCCUAAACGAUGAAUGCCAGUCGUCGGGUAGCAUGCUAUUCGGUGACACACCUAACGGAUUAAGCAUUCCGCCUGGGGAGUACGGCCGCAAGGUUAAAACUCAAAGAAAUUGACGGGGGCCCGCACAAGCGGUA
rnacentral:rRNA from 1 species